UUCGAAUCCUUUUGGCGACCAAAAAUGAUUAACUGACUUGUAUGAUCGAAAAGCGACUCGAAAAUGACUCUCUCUAAUGAGUGGAAAGAGAUAAAUUUAAUAUACAACAACAAAAUGUAGGGGAAUCGCAAAUCAGUCAUUGAGAUGUGCAAAAUGUGACAAUUUUUCCGUUAUUUAUUAUUGUAUUGCAAUCAUCUAAAGAUUGAAAAAUGAUUAGUCUUAAAAAGAUCUUGCAGCUGUUUGAAAAGUGAUCAGAAUUAUGUAUUUUUUGAUCACAUUUUGCACAGAUAAGUGCAUAAAUGCUGCUUUUUUUGUUAUGCAAGGGUCAUUUUGUUUCUUGACUGACUAUUAAAAAGUUGAAUUACUGUUCAUUUAUAAAAAGUGCAUGGAGGCGUCAACAGCAAAAGUGUAUAAUAUUGAAAAGUAAAAAAAAUAUGAAAAAGUGUACCUUUAUCUCUUUGUUUAUUUAUUAAUUUUUAUAAAAAAAAAAAUGUCAGCAAGUUAAAUUACAAAAAUAGAAAAGUCUCAAAUAAAAACAAUGGCAAAAGAGAGGCAGAAAAUUUAAUUUUGGAAAAAAGAAGUAAAACUGAAUAUGAGAAAAAUGAAGAAAAUGUCCAGAAACGUGAAUUGGUGAAGCAAAAUGAUACAUAACAUGAUUUAAAGAGUUUAUUGCGAAAGGUUUUAACAGAUAAAUUAGCCUGCCAAUACAGCUGGAAGGGGACAGGGUACAACUGAGUGGAGAAAAGUGUUAUUUAUUUACAGUAAUCAAAAAUAUGUGUCAUCUCAAAUACUCAAGCAACGACAAGGAUAUGAACACAAUCCUACAAAAACAUUUUAUUCACGCUAGAGACCGCGUUACAAAUAGAAGACUGCCCAAUUGCAGUUCCUGAUUUUUUAUUUUUCAUUUUUUUAUUUCAUUUUCUUACAUUUUUUUUUUUAUUUUCUUAUUUAAUUUUUUACUAUAUUUUUUACAAUCGCAUUUAUUGAUAUUACGGUACAAAUUAUAAUCAUAAAAGCUGAAUUAUUUUUAUUUUAAAUAAAUUAUUAUAUGAACAUAUAUAAUUAAAUUCUUUUUUACGGAACAUCCAAAAAAUGAAUUAAAAAAGACUCGAAAAAGAUUCACAAAUUAAGCGUUUUAGCGCAACAAAUUAUUAGAAAACUACUCGAAAAAGACUCGUAGAACGAUCAGAAAAUGGUCGAAAAAGACUCUUAACUAAUCUAGAUGAAGGCUCAUAUGUGAUUUAUUUAGAAGAGUCGC